CUGGUUGAUCCUGCCGGAGAUCACUGUUAUCAGAUUUCGAUUUAGCCAUGCGAGGCGAGAGGUGAAAGACCUCGCCGAACUGCUCAGUAACACUUAGUUAACUUACUCUUAGGUUGGGGAUAAUCUUGCGAAAGUGAGGCUAAUACCCAAUAGCUGUUUGAUGCUGGAAUGCGCUAACAGUUAAAAUUCCGAUGCCUAAGAAUAGGACUGCGGCGUAUCAGGCGGUUGUGAGUGUAAAGUACUCACAAACCUAUAACGCGUAGGGGCCAUGAGAGUGGGAGCCUCGAGAUGCCUUCUGAGACAUGAAGGCAGGUCCUACGGGACGCAGCAGGCGCGAAAACUUUCCAAUUCAUUAACGUGUGAGAAGGGAAGUCUGAGUGCUCAUGUUUUACAUGAGCUUUUUCUUUAGUCCAAAAAAACUAGGGGGAAUAAGUGGUGGGUAAAGACAGGGUGCCAGGCCGCCGCGGUAAUACCUGCGCCACAAAUGGUGAUCACUAUUAUUGGGUCUAGAGCGUCCGUAGCCGGUUUAGCAAGUUCCUGGGUGAAAUCUGGCAGCAAACUGUCAGGGCGUGCUG
rnacentral:rRNA from 1 species